GAUGAACGCUGGCGGCGUGCUUAACACAUGCAAGUCGAACGGACAGGCCCUGCUCUUGCUUGGUUCUCGUUUGCCGAACGGGUGAGUAUCACGCGAGUAACCUGCCCUUGUCUUUGUGAUAACUUCACGAAACUGGGGCUCUUACCGCAUAUGAUCUCCUGCUGCAUGGUGUGCGUAGGAAAGUUUCGGUGGUUGUGGAUGGUCUAGCUGGUUACCCGCUUGUUGGUGGGGUAGUGGCUGACCAAGGGUUUGACGGGUAGCCGGCCUGAGAGGGUGACCGGCCACAUUAGGACUAAGGUACGGACCAGACGCCUACGGGAGGCAGAAGUGGGGAAUAUUGCGGAAUGGGCGGAAGCCUGAUGCAGCGACGCCGCGUGCGGGAUGACGGCCUUCUGGUUGUAAACCGCUUUCGCAGGUGACGAGGCGUGAGUGACGGUAAUGAAUAAAGAAGCAACGGCUAACUACGUG
rnacentral:rRNA from 1 species